AGAGUUUGAUCAUGGCUCAGGACGAACGCUGGCGGCGUGCCUAAUACAUGCAAGUGGAACGCAUGAUUGAUACCGGAGCUUGCUCCACCAUUAAUCNUGAGUCGCGAACGGGUGAGUAACGCGUAGGUAACCUACCUCAUAGCGGGGGAUAACUAUUGGAAACGAUAGCUAAUACCGCAUAACAGUAUUUAUCGCAUGGUAAAUGCUUGAAAGGAGCAACUGCUUCACUAUGAGAUGGACCUGCGUUGUAUUAGCUAGUUGGUGGGGUAACGGCUCACCAAGGCAUCGAUACAUAGCCGACCUGAGAGGGUGAUCGGCCACACUGGGACUGAGACACGGCCCAGACUCCUACGGGAGGCAGCAGUAGGGAAUCUUCGGCAAUGGGGGGAACCCUGACCGAGCAACGCCGCGUGAGUGAAGAAGGUUUUCGGAUCGUAAAGCUCUGUUGUAAGAGAAGAACGUGUGUGAGAGUGGAAAGUUCACACAGUGACGGUAACUUACCAGAAAGGGACGGCUAACUACGUGCCAGCAGCCGCGGUAAUACGUAGGUCCCGAGCGUUGUCCGGAUUUAUUGGGCGUAAAGCGAGCGCAGGCGGUUUGAUAAGUCUGAAGUAAAAGGCUGUGGCUUAACCAUAGUAUGCUUUGGAAACUGUCAAACUUGAGUGCAGAAGGGGAGAGUGGAAUUCCAUGUGUAGCGGUGAAAUGCGUAGAUAUAUGGAGGAACACCGGUGGCGAAAGCGGCUCUCUGGUC
rnacentral:rRNA from 1 species